UAUAGUUAUAGAAAUAAUAUCGGAAGUUUCUUUGUUUUGCAAUCCCUUCAUAUACGUUUCGCGAACAUAUUGACCCACCCUCGUAUACGUGAAAGAUUUCACAGACAACUAAUGUGAUUUGUUAUUUAAUUGUAAGAUAAAGAUCAAAUUAAUUGACUUCUAAAUUUUAAGAAAUUUUCUGUGAUGUUUGUAUGCAACAUCGGAUGAAAUAAAAUUUGCAGUGACUUAGUUCUUGACAUAAAGAUAAAUUAUACCUGCGUAAUUCUUUAUUGUUAAUUUUUCUACUGAAGUAAAGUUUAUUGAUUGAAACACAAUUGCCAUUCUAAUAAAAAUUAUUAUUAAAAAUAGUAUCUUUAUCAUCAAGGAAGUUGAAGAUAAAACUUGAUUCUACUUGAUUAAUGUCUCUUACGAUUUUCUUCUAUAAAAAUGUCAAUGUAUGAACAAGAAUUGUAAUUUGAUUUCUGCUCUAAAUGCAUUAAUGAGACUAAGAUGAUUCAUAAACCAUCAAAACUAAUGACAAUUUACAGAUCUUAUCUUGUAAUAUAAUAACUGAUAUCAGCAAUAUUUGUAACACAUGUUCAAUAUUGCACGUAUAUCUUCAAAUUAUGCUGUACGGAAUCUCAUUUUUCAUUCCACUUAAUAGUCGCCAAUAAUUCUAAUAUUAGCAUAGUUGUCACAUAGGACGAUUUAUAGAUGCAUAAUCACAAUGAGAUGAGAUCAGCGAGGUUCGCUAAAAUCAUUUAUAGCUACGGCAUACGUGGACCGUGGCAAAGGUCUAGAACUAAAAUUGCUACAAAGGUAUAAUUAUUAUUUGUCACUAAUGCACACGACGGGCACGCCACAAUUUAUGAUUUGACUAUGAUAGCCUAGUACCAGACGCGAUUUUAUGACGCAUAAAAUAAAAUUUCUUCCCAAUCCAUCACGUGGAAACGCGCAUUUCCUUAUUGUAGAAGUUGAUAAAAAAAAGAUUCGAAUGGUCGAAUGCGUUAUUUCUUUCGCCAAAGAAAGACACUAACGUUAAAAUUUUCAACAAUACAGCUGAAUACGUGGUCUAUCUAAGCGAGCGAUAUACCUGCAGUGUUAAUUCUCUGUCAAUGAGUAAUUACGGAAAACACAACGUGCGUCGUGAUAAUACACAUAUUUGUGGAAUGUGAAUUUGAAAUAAGUUUACGGACAGCGAACGAAUAAGAUUACCAACGAAAUGAUGACAUUAAACCAGGAAAGAUAACGCACGUACCGCACGAUGUGAAUAUUAAACUUUUUUUCUGACACAACAAAGUUACAAUCGCUAGAAAAUGACUUCCAUAUGAAUGAAUAUCAAACAUGAAAGUGUAUCGAUGUAAUGCAUACUUUUAUGUAUCGAUAUUUAGCAUUAGACACAAUUUCUUUACGGAAAUAAUUGUUCGACGAUGUUGCUAUGAGAGUAAGAGCAUUAAAAUAUUAUGACAUAUUAUAAAUC